rnacentral:rRNA from 1 species
CCUACGGGAGGCAGCAGUAGGGAAUCUUCCACAAUGGGCGAAAGCCUGAUGGAGCAACGCCGCGUGGGUGAAGAAGGUCUUCGGAUCGUAAAACCCUGUUGUUAGAGAAGAAAGUGCGGGAGAGUAACUGUUCACGUUUCGACGGUAUCUAACCAGAAAGCCACGGUCAACUACGUGCCAGCAGCCGCGGUAAUACGUAGGUGGCAAGCGUUAUCCGGAUUUAUUGGGCGUAAAGGGAACGCAGGCGGUCUUUUAAGUCUGAUGGGAAAGCCUUCGGCUUAACCGGAGUAGUGCAUUGGAAACUGGGAGACUUGAGUGCAGAAGAGGAGAGUGGAACUCCAUGUGUAGCGGUGAAAUGCGUAGAUAUAUGGAAGAACACCAGUGGCGAAAGCGGCUCUCUGGUCUGUAACUGACGCUGAGGUUCGAAAGCGUGGGUAGCAAACAGGAUUAGAUACCCCAGUAGUC